AGUAAUGCCUUUGUAUUCAGUUACAAAACGUUGAGCACACCGGAUCGAAUAUGUUUUGGGAUCUAAUCGGUGGAAUUUUCGAGUUCAUUUUCGGACUCUUGUUUCCCAGUUCCGGCAGUGGAGACGAACCAGAUUCUGAGGAGGUGGAAACCACUUGAUGGCCUAAAAUAAUAUCAUUUUUAUACCCUUUUUAAUUGCAAAAGUUCCAUGUUUUCGCUUUAUUAAAUCUACGUAAAGUAUGUAUAUUUAACAUAAAUUGCUUAAUCAGCUACUA